rnacentral:rRNA from 1 species
GACGAACCGUGCGAACGUUGUUCGGAAUCACUGGGCUUAAAGGGCGCGUAGGCGGGCUGCCAAGUCUGUGGUGAAAUCCUCCAGCUUAACUGGAGAACGGCCGCGGAUACUGGCGGUCUCGAGGGAGAUAGGGGCAAGCGGAACUGUGCGUGGAGCGGUGAAAUGCGUUGAUAUGCACAGGAACUCCGGUGGCGAAGGCGGCUUGCUGGAUCUCUUCUGACGCUGAGGCGCGAAAGCUAGGGGAGCGAACGGG